CGGGCUGUAGCGCAGCUUGGUAGCGCACCUGACUGGGGGUCAGGGGGUCGCAGGUUCAAAUCCUGUCAGCCCGA
rfam:Nocardioides sp. Soil774 contig_2, whole genome shotgun sequence.